rnacentral:rRNA from 1 species
CCUACGGGGUGCAGCAGUGAGGAAUAUUGGUCAAUGGCCGCAAGGCUGAACCAGCCAAGCCGCGUGAGGGAAGAAUGUCCUAUGGAUUGUAAACUUCUUUUGUCAGGGCGCAACAUCACCCGCGUGUGGGUGUUGGAGAGUACGUGAAGAAAAAGCAUCGGCUAACUCCGUGCCAGCAGCCGCGGUAAUACGGGGGAUGCGAGCGUUAUCCGGAUUUAUUGGGUGAAAAGGGUGCGUAGGCGGGUUAUUAAGUCAGCGGUAAAAGCGUGGAGCUCAACUACAGCCAGCCGUUGAAACUGGUGAUCUUGAGUGGGCGAGAGGUAUGCGGAAUGCGGGGUGUAGCGGUGAAAUGCAUAGAUAUAACGCAGAACGCCGAUUGCGAAGGCAGCAUACCGGCGACCGACUGACGCUGAGGCACGAAAGCGUGGGUAUCGAACAGGAUUAGAUACCCUAGUAGUC